AUUGAACGCUGGCGGCAGGCCUAACACAUGCAAGUCGAGCGGAUGAAGGGAGCUUGCUCCUGGAUUCAGCGGCGGACGGGUGAGUAAUGCCUAGGAAUCUGCCUGGUAGUGGGGGAUAACGUCCGGAAACGGGCGCUAAUACCGCAUACGUCCUGAGGGAGAAAGUGGGGGAUCUUCGGACCUCACGCUAUCAGAUGAGCCUAGGUCGGAGUGGCUAGUUGGUGGGGUAAAGGCCUACCAAGGCGACGAUCCGUAACUGGUCUGAGAGGAUGAUCAGUCACACUGGAACUGAGACACGGUCCAGACUCCUACGGGAGGCAGCAGUGGGGAAUAUUGGACAAUGGGCGAAAGCCUGAUCCAGCCAUGCCGCGUGUGUGAAGAAGGUCUUCGGAUUGUAAAGCACUUUAAGUUGGGAGGAAGGGCAGUAAGUUAAUACCUUGCUGUUUUGACGUUACCAACAGAAUAAGCACCGGCUAACUUCGUG
rnacentral:rRNA from 1 species